rnacentral:lncRNA from 1 species
CAAUCAUCCUCAGAUAUAAUUCUCCCUUGGUGCUUCCAUAGGCCAAGAGUAGCUUGAGGGGGAUGCAGAACCUGCUAAUGUGUAAGGUAACACCAACCAAAUGCUAAUAUCUGGGGGGUGUGGGAGGGGCUCCCAGCUCAGGCAUUGUCUUCCUAGGAUGGGGACUCUGGCCUCCAGAGGAGGUGCUCCCUGAGGGCCCAGCCUGCUCCAGCCACUCAGAUGACCUGCAGCAGCACCUGCCUAUCAUUCAGCACUUUGAACAGCCCAACAUACCAGGAAGAGCAAGAUAGCAACCAGACAAUGAGAAACUGCCAGAGCUCCAGUCUCUGUCCCUGCCUGCAAACCUGCCAUCUCUGCAAAAUGCUUCAUCUUUGGAUGCUACAAGUUCCUCAAGGAAUCUCAAGUCCUAGCUGUUCCAGAGGCUGACCAAGAAGUCGUCUCUCCAUCUUAGUCCUCAACAGUUUCUGCAGACCCAAACUUACACUGGAGAGGAGACCAUGUCGCUCUGUGUGUCCACCAUGCCCAUUGUCCUCCAUGUCCGAAGCCCUCUUCUAUGAAAAACAGACGAGGGUUUCUCUGCUCCUAUGGCCAUUAUGCUUUACAUCAUGUGACUCCUGCUUUCUGCUGAUUUAGUUCAAGGAUUUACCUUUGAGACAAAGAUACCUAAAACCCUGGCUAUCAGCCCACAAAGUGUUACUAAACUCUGCCCAGCAAGGAUGGUCAAUAUUGGAUGUUGACUAACCCAUAAAGCAGAUCUCCCUUGGGAAUUUGGAGGGAGACUGAAGUGAGCAGAAGGUAGAGACACAUUGAGACUUCAGAAAUCAUAAGACAGUAAAAGCUAACAGAGAGCUUGAAGUGGAGAGAAAGCAAGUGGAAAGACUCGUGUUGGAGGAUACAGAAGUACAAGCAGAGACUGAAAUCAAGCCACUUACAAGUUGGGAAUCCUUGUCUUAGAAAGCAACAGAAGUUUACUGCUGAAUGGAUCUUUGCAGAUGUUGCUGUUGACCAUAAGAGCUGCUGUCAGUCCUCUACAUCACAUUCUAAAUAAGCUACAGUUCCAGCUGCUGGCUGAAUAGUUGCUAAGACACAAUCUCCUGGUUCUUACUUCCCUUCUGUUAUCUGUAAACCUACACCAACUAAGAUAACUUGAAAAUGUCAUGUUUUUCUCAAACCCAAAUAGGAUUGACCAUUAAGGGCAUUUAUACAUUGCAAAUGAAUUAUUUAAUAGCAAAUUUGUCUCCAUUGUAUUUUAAAAAGAUGAGAUUUAAAAUAAUACUAAAUGAGUCUUACCUGUGUAUAUAUUCUACUGGUGUUAUCUAAGAUCUGAUAAUACUUUGUAAUUCUAUUUAUCUAUUUAGCAAAAGCAAUCAAUUUAUUUCAGAUUACUUUUAAUCCAAAGAGAAGAUGAAAGUAUGUAUCUUUUCCAAUGAAACUUGUUAUAAUUCAAACAAUUGAAAGUGAAUGGAGAGACAUAAGAAAGUUAAGGAUAUUAUCUGAAGUAAUUCAAUUCCAGUUUUCAAUAAAACAAAUUCAAUUACUGUGUAACAAUCUCCUCCCUGUUGAUUAAAAAAACACUGACGAUGAAGUGGUGAAUUUGGCAAUAGAGCAUCCAUUCUAAGAAAAUAACAGUUGAUGAAAAUUUAUGGAAUCUGGCCAGCCUGGUGGCUCACGCCUGUAAUCCCAGCACUUUGGGAGGCCGAGGCGGGCAAUCACAAGGUCAGGAGUUCGAGACCAGCCCAACCAACAUGGUGAAAACCCUAUCUCUAGUAAAAAUACAAAAAUUAGCCAGCUUGGUGGUAUGGGCCUGUAAUCCCAGCUACUCUGGAGGCUGAGGCAGGAGAAUCACUUGAAACCCGGAGGCAGAGGUUGCAGUGAGCCCAGAUCAUGCCACUACGCUCCAACCUGGGUGACAGAGCAAGACUUUGCCUCAAGAAAAAAAAAAAGUUAGCCGGUAGUGGUGGUGCAUGUCCAGCUACUUGAGAGGCUAAGGGACAAAAAUAGCUUGACCCUGGGAGGCCGAGGUUGCAGUGAGCCAAGACUGCACCACUAUGCUCCAGCCUGGGUGACACAGCAAGGAUCUGUCUUAAAAUAUAC